GAAACCUUUACACUGCCCGACAGUGCGAUAGGGGGAUCCCAAGUGCACAGGCAUAGCGCCUGUGCUUUUCGGUACCCUAAGGCGGUACCAGAAUAAGGGCUGGGCAAGACCGGUGCCAGCCGCCGCGGUAAUACCGGCAGCCCAAGUGAUGGCCGAUCUUAUUGGGCUAAAGCGUCCGUAGCUGGCCGCGCAAGUCCAUCGGGAAAUCCACCUGCUCAACAGGUGGGCGCCCGGUAGAAACUGCGUGGCUUGGGACCGGAAGGCGCGACGGGUACGUCCGGGGUAGGAGUGAAAUCCCGUAAUCCUGGACGGACCGCCGAUGGCGAAAGCACGUCGCGAGAACGGAUCCGACAGUGAGGGACGAAAGCCAGGGUCUCGAACCGGAUUAGAUACCCGGGUAGUCCUGGCCGUAAACAAUGUCUGCUAGGUGUGGCUCCCACUACGAGUGGGUGCUGUGCCGUAGGGAAGCCGCUAAGCAGACCGCCUGGGAAGUACGUCCGCAAGGAUGAAACUUAAAGGAAUUGGCGGGGGAGCACUACAACCGGAGGAGCCUGCGGUUUAAUUGGACUCAACGCCGGA
rnacentral:rRNA from 1 species